GCCGCCGUGGCACAAUCUGGUACUGCGCAGGACUGGAAAUCCUGUUUCCGCAAGGAUCUCCCGGUUCAAAUCCGGGCGGCGGCG
rnacentral:tRNA from 1 species